ensembl:lncRNA
CAAACCCCUCUCACAGCUUCAUUUUCAUUGGCGAAAUUUUUUUUUAAAUGGCGUCUGCCGUGAAUAUGGUAAAUUAGGCUACGUAUUUUUGACGUACAUGGAUGAGUUGUGAUGGGAAAAUGAUGAGUUUCUCAGCGAGUAGUCGGAAAGAAUGAAUAUUUAAUGUUAGCAGAUGACAGGAAUUGUUCAGCAUUUGAUUACUAAGAUGGAGAUUUGAGGACAGUCAUCAGUGUGCGCUGGGAAUCAAGGCUGCAUUCGAAAGCCUUCACAGACAGUAUAUGGAGGAAGACAAGAAGUUUAUACUGAGAUCCCUUCAUCAUUUUGAAGGCCACCAAUGCAUUCUUGCCAAUGAUAUUCCACAAUCUUCAACACAUAUGGUUCAGCAGUUGGUGGAGAAAAUUAUGUCAGUUGAAAGAGGAUUCUUUCAGAAGGUUGCAGCAAACGAACACCUCAGACAGGCCGAGUGCCAGGUCGAGAGAUUGAGGCCGAAGUUGACGGUGCCUGUGUGCUUGGUACGACGUGGAACUGAAGCAAAGAGGAGGCAUGUGACAGAAGCUAAACCCGGAGAACUCCAGAGUUUAGUCGUUCCACGUGGCUUAAACAAGCAACUCGAGGCAUGCAGAGAUACCGAGCCCUAGACCUACGCUAGUCCUCCACUGUAUCUCCUCGCUCAGGGUAUUGGCUGGACUUUCAGUGAUGGGACUUAAACAAAGGCAGUCCUCUGAGAGAAUGAAGGACAAUGGCCUGUAUUGUUUACUUUGCUACCUCACUUAAUCAGGCACAGCCGGCUCUAAUUGGUGUGUUGGUUAAGCGGUUUUUAAACUUAUAGCUUCCUGGGCUUAAUAACAGUGUGGCACAGUAAGCUCGCCACGGAGAACAAUACUGGACUUGUCUGGCCCACAACUCUUAGAAACCAAGACGUACAAAAGGAGCCCGUCCUCAUUGAGACCUCUCUAUCAUGCUCUCUGCUCCUAUUCUUGCUCUCUCUAAGCAUGUUUUCCCAUUAGUUUGUCUUUAAAUAGAUGCUAAAUAAUCCGAGAUGUUCGCUUAUAGUUAUGUAAGACUAAAAACAGCAAUCCAUUUUGCUCAUUCAAACUCAUGGGAGAGCUAAUAUAAUGACGACCACAGCUGAAAGCAGGAGGGAAGUCUUGCUGUUCUUCUCAAUAAUGGCAGCACGCCAUCUCCAUGGCUGGCAUGGUAUGACGUCUGGGCAGCAGAAUCCCUGAUGGCAACCUAUUCAGCAUUGAUGCCCGCAGAUGCAGCUCUGCCUCAGCCAUUGUGCCGGGGAAUGAUUUAAUGCAAACGACUACAAAACAUCUCCCCGCCCCCUUCAGCGCCUAUCACAACCAGGACGUGUGAUAUUCACAAUUAACAAACACAUCUGCUGUAAUGAACAGUGCCUUCGAGCAGGGGGAGCGAGAGAGUACAAUAUGUGUAAACGAGAAGAGGCGAGAGAGAGGAGGGUGUGAGACGCAGGAGAGUGAUGGUGGGUCAUACCUGCUUAUUUUCCACUUCCAUUUAAUGCCCGCUUGUUCUAAGAUGGUGGCUUUGUGCAAACUGCAUCUCGUGACGGGAGGAAGGGGGCAGGCGAGCAGCGAAGGGGAGGGGAGCAGCAACGCCAGCAGGACGACAGCCACACAACCGACCUGCCCCAAUGNNNNNNNNNNUCUUUCCUUUCCCUGGCAUCGAGGAUGGUUGGUCUGUUUGAGAGUGGAAACGGAAAGAUGAAGGGCAUAAAUGCAUCAGCAUGUGAGGGCAUAAGCAAGAUCGGGCAUGCACGUGCACACGCACACCUUUUCAUGUCUGUUCUCAUGGUAAAGUCUGCCCUGAGCAUGCAAAUCACUUUCAUUAUGCAAAUGCAUGCAAAUCAGACCCAGCCAUCUGAGAAUCAAGGCUGGGAAAAAAUCUACACAGAGAUAUCGAAUGAAAGAGACAGAGAGUGAAGGAUAAAUCCUUUGGGUGGCAGGAGGCGGCUAACAGAACUAAACGCUGUGUGGAGGAACAACGGUGUCCCAGAGAGCACAAAAAUGGCCGUUUAAGAUUGGAACACACUCUUUCUUCAUGGCAUUUUAGUGUGCACACAAAACGCAAACCUUAUUUGAGUAUUAAAAAUCUCACAAUAUCUGUAGCUACUGAUCCAUGUCAUAGUUCUAAAUUAAACAUUGAAAGUUGCUCUGAAAGGAAGCAUGUUGACAGAGCUCUGGAAGCAUAAUGGAAAUGGAAGUCAUAUAAAUCACGGAAUGUUCUAGACAACACUGAAACACUCAUUGGGGUCGAGGGUGAAACGUGAGAUCAUCUUACACGCCAUGUUAAAAAUAACUUAGUCAGGGUGGAAAAUGAUAUUUCCUGCCCACCAGAUAAAAAUACAAUUUUACCG